UACGAAGGGUGCAAGCGUUACUCGGAAUUACUGGGCGUAAAGCGUGCGUAGGUGGUUUGUUAAGUCUGUUGUGAAAGCCCCGGGCUCAACCUGGGAAUGGCGAUGGAUACUGGCUCGCUAGAGUGCGGUAGAGGAGAGUGGAAUUCCCGGUGUAGCAGUGAAAUGCGUAGAGAUCGGGAGGAACAUCAGUUGCGAAGGCGGCUCUCUGGACCAGCACUGACACUGAGGCACGAAAGCGUGGGGAGCAAACAGGA
rnacentral:rRNA from 1 species